rnacentral:rRNA from 1 species
UACGUAGGGGGCAAGCGUUGUCCGGAAUCAUUGGGCGUAAAGAGCGUGUAGGCGGUCCGGUAAGUCGGCUGUGAAAGUCCAGGGCUCAACCCUGGGAUGCCGGUCGAUACUGCCGGACUAGAGUUCGGAAGAGGCGAGUGGAAUUCCCGGUGUAGCGGUGAAAUGCGCAGAUAUCGGGGAGGAACGACCUAUGGCGAAGGCAGCUCGCUGGGACGGUUACUG